rnacentral:rRNA from 1 species
UGGAGAGUUUGAUCCUGGCUCAGGAUGAACGCUGGCGGCGUGCCUAAUACAUGCAAGUCGAGCGAACAGAUAAGGAGCUUGCUCCUUUGACGUUAGCGGCGGACGGGUGAGUAACACGUGGGUAACCUACCUAUAAGACUGGGAUAACUUCGGGAAACCGGAGCUAAUACCGGAUAAUAUUUCGAACCGCAUGGUUCGAUAGUGAAAGAUGGUUUUGCUAUCACUUAUAGAUGGACCCGCGCCGUAUUAGCUAGUUGGUAAGGUAACGGCUUACCAAGGCGACGAUACGUAGCCGACCUGAGAGGGUGAUCGGCCACACUGGAACUGAGACACGGUCCAGACUCCUACGGGAGGCAGCAGUAGGGAAUCUUCCGCAAUGGGCGAAAGCCUGACGGAGCAACGCCGCGUGAGUGAUGAAGGUCUUCGGAUCGUAAAACUCUGUUAUUAGGGAAGAACAUACGUGUAAGUAACUGUGCACGUCUUGACGGUACCUAAUCAGAAAGCCACGGCUAACUACG